GACGAACGCUGGCGGCGUGCUUAACACAUGCAAGUCGAACGGAAAGGCCCUGCUUUUGUGGGGUGCUCGAGUGGCGAACGGGUGAGUAACACGUGAGUAACCUGCCCUUGACUUUGGGAUAACUUCAGGAAACUGGGGCUAAUACCGGAUAGGAGCUCCUGCUGCAUGGUGGGGGUUGGAAAGUUUCGGCGGUUGGGGAUGGACUCGCGGCUUAUCAGCUUGUUGGUGGGGUAGUGGCUUACCAAGGCUUUGACGGGUAGCCGGCCUGAGAGGGUGACCGGCCACAUUGGGACUGAGAUACGGCCCAGACUCCUACGGGAGGCAGCAGUGGGGAAUAUUGCACAAUGGGCGCAAGCCUGAUGCAGCGACGCCGCGUGAGGGAUGACGGCCUUCGGGUUGUAAACCUCUUUCAGUAGGGAAGAAGCGAAAGUGACGGUACCUGCAGAAGAAGCACCGGCUAACUACGUG
rnacentral:rRNA from 1 species